CAGUCGCCGCGGGAACACGUAGGGUGCGAGCGUUAUUCGGAAUUACUGGGCGUAAAGCGUGCGCAGGCGGUUGUGUAAGACAGACGUGAAAUCCCCGGGCUCAACCUGGGAACUGCGUUUGUGACUGCAAGGCUAGAGUACGGCAGAGGGGGGUGGAAUUCCACGUGUAGCAGUGAAAUGCGUAGAGAUGUGGAGGAACACCGAUGGCGAAGGCAGCCCCCUGGGCCAGUACUGACGCUCAUGCACGAAAGCGUGGGGAGCAAACAGGAUUAGAUACCCGAGUAGUCCCUGUCUCUUAUAA
rnacentral:rRNA from 1 species